UCGGCCAUAGAACUUAUCAUGAUGGCUGUGACCUAAAAUCCUCAGGGAGCCCCGGGGUCAUGGCCCAGAAGCACCCCGGAGAAAGAGGGUUGUGUGGAGCCCAUCAUAGCGGUGGUGCCUCCCUCAGGACAUCAGAACCCUCUGUGAACCCUGAAAUACUUUCAUUCUCAGGACCCAGGGACUCUGCAAGGACUGCACCUAAUGGUACCCGCUGCCUCACAGAACACUCUGGUCCUAAGUACACCCAGCCCCCAAACCCAGCCCACUGGUCAGAUCCAAGCCAUGGUCCCCCAAGGGGCCCAGGACCACCUAGAGAAGGAGAUCACAUGGAUCAGAGUGAGGCAUCUUCAGAAGAAUCAGGAGUGGACCAAGAGCUCUCAAGACAGAAUGAGACUGAAUACCAGGAGGAUGGGAACCCUUCUUUUCUUUCCAUUCCAUCUGCUUGUAACUGCCAGGGAAGCCCUGGAAUCCCUGAAGGGCCUUCCUCUGAGAAAGGAGAUGGCUCUUCUAACAUCUUUUGCCACCAUUGUGAAUCUCCAGCCUUGGAGGAAGAUGAAGAAUUAUAAGAGGAAUAUGACAAUGAUGAACCUCUUAAAUUUCCCAAGGACUUUUCAUGUGUGUCCAGUGGGGAAAAGCCCCCAUCCCAGAGGCAGAGGCACCACUUUCUGACCAAGGAAGAUACUCGGGAUAGUGGAUGCAGAGAUCCUAGGUUCCCUGGCCGCCAUCGGCUGGGCCAAAAACAAAGUCAGGUGGAUAAAUGCAGAGGCUUAGGAUUGUGGGGAGUAGAGCUUGGACAGGCAAGCUUCUGGUGGCUGAUCGACCUGCUGGUGUUGGUGGAAGAGUAUGUAGAAACUUGUGGCCAUCUCAUUUAUGCAUGUAGGCAGCUGAAAGGCAGUGAUCUGCACCUUUUUUGAGUUUGGAUGGGCACCUGGGCAGGAAUAUUGGGGGGCUGGGCCCAGGUAAUAUUCCAAUUUCUAAGACAGGGCUUUUAUAUGGGGCAGGGGGUGAUGGUUUCUGGUAAGAUUGGGUGAUCGGUUAGGCUGGAAGGAUAAGGCCACCUGGCUCUUCUCUUGGCUGGACUCUCCAGCCUUGCAACAUUGCUUGACUUUGCUGAGAGAGAGCAGGCUGUGGCAGCAGCUGGUAAGAUUAGUUCAACGGGGUUGGCUGGAGCUGUCUUGGGUCAAGCAGACGACUAAUAGGCAGGGCCAUGCACGUGUCACUAGUGGGCGCUACUGCCAGCCAGAACAGGAAGUGGUCUGACUUUUGACAAUGGCUGGGGUUCCUAAGGAUGAACUAAACCCUUUUCAUAUGCUGGGGGUUGAAGCUACGGCAUCAGACAUUGAAUUAAAGAAGGCCUAUAGGCAGCUAGCUGUGCUGGUUCAUCCAGAUACAAAUCAUCAUCCUCAGGCUGAGGAAGCCUUCAGGGUUUUGCGGGCAGCUUGGGACAUUGUCAGCAAUCCUGAAAGGCGGAAGGAAUAUGAGAUGAAACGAAUGGCAAAGAAUGAGCUGAGCCGGUCAGUGAGUGAGUUUCCAUCCAAGCUACAAGAUGACCUCAAGGAGGCAAUGAAUACUAUGAUGUGUGGCCGAUGCUAAGGAAAGCAUAGGAGACUUGAAAUGGACCAGGAACCUAAGAGUGCCAGAUACUGUGCUGAGUGUAAUAGGCUACAUCCUGCUGAGGAAGGAGACUUCUGGGCAGAGUCAAGCAUGUUAGGCCUCAGAAUCACCUACUUUGCUCUGAUGGAUGGAAAGGUCUAUGACAUCACAGAGUGGGCUGGAUGCCAAUGUGUGGGACUCUCCCCAGACACCCACAGAGUUCCUUAUCACAUCUCUUUUGGUUCUCGGGUACCCAGCCCCAGUGGUCGGCAGAGAGCCAACCCCAGAGACCCCUCCUUCUUACCUUCAGGAUUUCUUGAGCUGGAUCUUUCAAGUACCCCCAGGGCAAAUGUCCAAUGGGAACUUCUUUGCAGCUCCUCACCCUGGCCCUGGGGCCACUGAAACCUCCAAGCCCAACAGUACAGUACCCAAGGGAGAAGUCAAACCAAAGUGGCAGAAGUGAGAAGGCCCUUCCAAUGUUGA